rnacentral:piRNA from 1 species
UGAAACACAAAAAACAACAAAGGAAUAAAAGC